UGUGCCCCGAAACUUGAACGGUAAAAACCAUGUUUUUUGCAUCAACCGCGCUAUGUUCCUCACAACUCUUAUAAUUUUACCCCCUCCCUUUCCCAAUAACCACCACCCGAGCCCCCUUCUUACACACUCCUUUAACCCCCAAAAUUUGUCUGCGGAUUAAUUAUACCGAAAAGUGUCAUGGAAUUCUGAAAAAAAAAUUAAUGUGUACGUGCAAGUAGUAAUCCCAUCCCAUCCCCUGAUUCUCAGCAAAAGCAAAUCUGCAAAUAGACUAAGUCAUAAAAGUUAUAACCAUCUAAUUGUAGUGCAAUGAUUAACUAUAAUUAAUUGCUUAAAUAUGUACAAUUCAACAUCUAUUAACCCUUAAAAAAAUAAAUUAAACAUGCUAAAAUCAUUACUCCUACAUGAUCAUAUAUUAAAGUCAU
rnacentral:lncRNA from 1 species